rnacentral:rRNA from 1 species
AUUGAACGCUGGCGGAAUGCUUUACACAUGCAAGUCGAACGGCAGCACGGACUUCGGUCUGGUGGCGAGUGGCGAACGGGUGAGUAAUGUAUCGGAACGUGCCCGGUCGUGGGGGAUAACGUAGGGAAAAUUACGCUAAUACCGCAUACGAUCUAUGGAUGAAAGCGGGGGAUCGCAAGGCCUCGCGAGAUUGGAGGGGCCGAUGUCAGAUUAGGUAGUUGGUGGGGUAAAGGCCCACCAAGCCAACGAUCUGUAGCUGGUCUGAGAGGACGACCAGCCACACUGGAACUGAGACACGGUCCAGACUCCUACGGGAGGCAGCAGUGGGGAAUUUUGGACAAUGGGCGAAAGCCUGAUCCAGCCAUUCCGCGUGCAGGAUGAAGGCCCUCGGGUUGUAAACUGCUUUUGUACAGAACGAAAAGGUUUCUACUAGUACUAGGAGCUCAUGACGGUACUGUAAGAAUAAGCACCGGCUAACUACGUGCCAGCCGCCGCCGUAA